UACGAAGGGGGCUAGCGUUGCUCGGAAUCACUGGGCGUAAAGCGCACGUAGGCGGGUUCUUAAGUCAGGGGUGAAAUUCUGGAGCUCAACUCCAGAACUGCCUUUGAUACUGAGAAUCUAGAGUUCGGGAGAGGUGAGUGGAACUGCGAGUGUAGAGGUGAAAUUCGUAGGUAUUCGCAAGAACACCAGUGGCGAAGGCGGCUCACUGGCCCGAUACUGACGCUGAAGUGCGAAAGCGUGGGGAG
rnacentral:rRNA from 1 species